AAAUAGAUUUUUUCCUCUUUGAAUGGAUAAGUCAUAUGCUUUCUAAAUUUUUCUGAUUAAUGUAUGCCAGCAGGGUUGACCCCUCCCUGCUUGAAUGGAUCUUGCAUUUCAAGAACCAACUUGAACAUGCUGUCUGCAGCAGACGGUUCCCAGUGUGUGAACAUUAAGUGUAGCUUUGGUAAUGUAAUACAUAUUAUAAUGUUACUCAAUUGCUUAUUAGUUUAACCCAUUGAGCCGCACUACUUAUUUUUUUACUUGUCUAACGCCAGACGAUUUUACUCGUCAAUGUGGGAGCCCUGUAGUUUAAUGGGUUAACCAAAAAAUCUGACAAUGUGUCUAGUUAACCCAUUGAGCCACAAUGCGCCCUAUAUUUUUUUACUUGUCUAACACCAGAUAAUUUUACUUGUCAAUGGGGAAGCCACCCCCCCCC